rnacentral:lncRNA from 1 species
ACACCUCUUUCUAACCCUUUUGCAGGUCCUUCUUCCUCAUCUCGCCAGAGCACCAUCGAUGAUGUACUUAAUGAGUUGCGCGCCCAAAAUGCUUUGAAUGAAGAGCGUGAUGGCCUCUUUUAUGCAAUUCACCAACAACAAGAGGGGAUGUUGGAACAAAUGAACUCAAUGCAAACACAACAAACUCUUAUUCUCCGCAAUCAACACCAGUUGGAGGCUGCCAAUGCACGACAACAGCAGCAACUCGAUCGCGUCAUUUAUGACAUAAGCGAUUUGAGAUUGCAAUUUGACAACUAUCAGAGAUACCCGCAGCCUCCUCCAUGAUUCACCAUUUUUCAGGUUACACGUUCCUUUCCUUUCUUUAAGUCACAACAUUGGGGACAAUGUUGGAUUUAAGUUUAGGGGAGGACUUUACUGUUUUUAUUUUCUACUUUUCAGUCUAAUUUUAUUUUAGUCUAAUUUUCCUUUUUUGCAAAUAAAUUUUUUCGGGUUAUUUUAAAUUUUUUCCAAAAUCUUGAGCCAUAACAAAAAUUUUGAGAAGUAAUACAAUUUUGAUUUUCCAAAAGUCACUGACAAAAUUAAGUUGUGAGCA